GCCGCGGUAUUACGAAGGGGGCUUAGCGUUUACUCCGGAAUUUAUUGGGCGUAAAGCGUGCGUAGGCUGCUUAGUAAGUCAAAAGUGAAAGCCUUUGGGCUCAACCUAAGAAUUCGCUUUUGAAACUACUAAGCUUGAGUACUGUAGGGGGUAGCGGAACUCCUAGUGUAGGGGUGAAAUUCGUAGAUAUUAGGAGGAACACCGGAGGCGAAAGCGGUUAUCUGGACAGUCACUGACGCUGUUGCACGAAAGCGUGGGGAGCAAACAGGAUUAGAUACCCUGGUAGUCCACGCUGU
rnacentral:rRNA from 1 species